rnacentral:rRNA from 1 species
GAACGGGUGAGUACACGUGGGUGAUCUGCCCUGCACUUUGGGAUAAGCCUGGGAAACUGGGUCUAAUACCGAAUAGGACCACGCGCUUCGUGGUGUGUGGUGGAAAGCUUUUGCGGUGUGGGAUGGGCCCGCGNNNNNUCAGCUUGUUGGUGGGGUAAUGGCCUACCAAGGCGACGACGGGUAGCCGGCCUGAGAGGGUGACCGGCCACACUGGGACUGAGAUACGGCCCAGACUCCUACGGGAGGCAGCAGUGGGGAAUAUUGCACAAUGGGCGCAAGCCUGAUGCAGCGACGCCGCGUGAGGGAUGACGGCCUUCGGGUUGUAAACCUCUUUCAAUAGGGACGAAGCGCAAGUGACGGUACCUAUAGAAGAAGCACCGGCCAACUACGUGCCAGCAGCCGCGGUAAUACGUAGGGUGCGAGCGUUGUCCGGAAUUACUGGGCGUAAAGAGCUCGUAGGUGGUUUGUCGCGUUGUUCGUGAAAACUCACAGCUUAACUGUGGGCGUGCGGGCGAUACGGGCAGACUAGAGUACUGCAGGGGAGACUGGAAUUCCUGGUGUAGCGGUGGAAUGCGCAGAUAUCAGGAGGAACACCGGUGGCGAAGGCGGGUCUCUGGGCAGUAACUGACGCUGAGGAGCGAAAGCGUGGGGAGCGAACAGGAUUAGAUACCCUGGUAGUCCACGCCGUAAACGGUGGGUACUAGGUGUGGGUUCCUUCCUUGGGAUCCGUGCCGUAGCUAACGCAUUAAGUACCCCGCCUGGGGAGUACGGCCGCAAGGCUAAAACUCAAAGGAAUUGACGGGGGCCCGCACAAGCGGCGGAGCAUGUGGAUUAAUU